UACGAAGGGGGCUAGCGUUGUUCGGAAUCACUGGGCGUAAAGCGCACGCAGGCGGAUAGAUAAGUCAGGGGUGAAAUCCCGGGGCUCAACCUCGGAAUUGCCUUUGAUACUGUCUAUCUCGAGUUCGGGAGAGGUUGGCGGAAUUCCUAGUGUAGAGGUGAAAUUCGUAGAUAUUAGGAAGAACACCAGUGGCGAAGGCGGCCAACUGGCCCGAUACUGACGCUCAUGUGCGAAAGCGUGGGG
rnacentral:rRNA from 1 species